GACGAACGCUGGCGGCGUGCUUAACACAUGCAAGUCGAGCGGAAAGGCCCUUUCGGGGGUACUCGAGCGGCGAACGGGUGAGUAACACGUGAGUAAUCUGCCCUGUGCUUUGGGAUAGCCACCGGAAACGGUGAUUAAUACCGGAUAUGACCACCUUUCGCAUGAGAUGGUGGUGGAAAGUUUUUCGGCGCAGGAUGUGCUCGCGGCCUAUCAGCUUGUUGGUGGGGUAAUGGCCUACCAAGGCUUCGACGGGUAGCCGGCCUGAGAGGGUGACCGGCCACACGGGGACUGAGACACGGCCCAGACUCCUACGGGAGGCAGCAGUGGGGAAUAUUGCGCAAUGGGCGGAAGCCUGACGCAGCGACGCCGCGUGGGGGAUGACGGCCUUCGGGUUGUAAACCUCUUUCAGCAGGGACGAAGCGAAAGUGACGGUACCUGCAGAAGAAGCACCGGCCAACUACGUGCCAGCCGCCGCGGUAAUAC
rnacentral:rRNA from 1 species